UAGCUAGGUGGUAAAGUGCUUGCCUUGCAUGCAACAGGUCCUGGGUUCCAUCCCCAG
rnacentral:tRNA from 1 species